UUCAGAUUGCAGGCUGNAACCCGCCUGCAUGAAGUCGGAAUUGCUAGUAAUCGCGGAUCAGCAUGCCGCGGUGAAUACGUUCCCGGGCCUUGUACACACCGCCCGUCACACCAUGGGAGCCGGUAAUACCCGAAGUCAGUAGUCCAACCACGUGAGGACGCUGCCGAAGGUAGGAUUGGCGACUGGGGUGAAGUCGUAACAAGGUAUC
rnacentral:rRNA from 1 species